GAUGAACGCUGGCGGCGUGCCUAAUACAUGCCAGUCGAGCGAACAGACGAGGAUCUUGUUCCGCGGACGUUAGCGGCGGAGGAGUGAGUAACACGUGGAUAACCUCCCUAUCAUACUGGUAUAACUUCGGGAAACCGGAGCUAAUACCGGAUGAUAUAUUGAACCGCAUGGUUCAAUGGUGAAAGACGGUUUUGCUGUCACUUAUAGAUGGUUCCGCGCGUCAUUAUCUAGUUGUUAAGGUAACGGCUUACCAAGGCAACGAGGCGUAGCCGAACUGUGAGGGGGAUCGGCGACACUGGAACUGUGACACGGUCCAGACUCCUACGGGAGGCAGCAGUAGGGAAUCUUCCGCAAUAGGCGAAAGCCUGACGGAGCAACGCCGCGUGUGAGAUGAAGGUCUUCGGAGCGUAAAACUCUCUUAUUAGGGAAGAACAAAUGUGUAAGUAACUAUGCACGUCUUGACGGUACCUAAUCAGAAAGCCACGGCUAACUACGUG
rnacentral:rRNA from 1 species